rnacentral:lncRNA from 1 species
GAAAAAUGUAUACGCUAAAAAUUAUGUGUUGUGUUUUAAGGUUUUGGAUGUAGUGUUAUAUAGUGAGUAAAGGGGUGCACGAUUAUUUCUCUAAUCCCAUAUGUAUCUUUUUUUUGAUAACCCAGUGUCCAGACCACACGGUGAUCUGACUAGUCCACUGGGCCUAAGCCCACGAUCAAGGAUUAUUAAGCAUCCACUAAAGGGCCCCUUGAAACUGGUGGUCUGGGGUGCUGCAGCCCACAUGUAAAGUCUGCAGUGGCCGGGACUCGAACUCGUGAUGGCGGGUACCCCAGCUGAGGCUCCUUUACCACCAGAGCUAGAGGCCCCGG